CUUUUCUAUAAAAUAGAUUUAAGUGCGUACAAUUUUUUAACUUCUUUUGCGAUGGACAGAUAGAUUUUCGAGUAAUAGAAAAAUUUUUUAGCGGACUAACGCUAAUAACGGUUUCGUUACACAUGCAGAGGAAAUCGCGCAAAUUCAAGUAUAAAUUAAAGAAGAGACUAGCUGCAUCGCCAAGAAUCCGAUUUAAAUAUGCAGAAGUUGUUUCCGCAAACGAAGUAAGAUUACGUUUAAGGGUAGCGGUGCGGGGAUGAUCAUUGCAUAAUGAUCGAAUUAGUAUUCUCGUUAGCAGAGAUACGGGGGAAAACGAAUUACAAUUGAUUCUGCUCGAAUCUUUCUCUUUCUUCAAUUUCAAUUUAAAGAAUUCGAAGGAUGCGACUGGAGAAAAUGCGCUUGGGACUGUCCCACUCUUUUUACGGAUUCGAACAAUGCAAAUUUAUGGUAAACCGAGACGUUAAACGAUUUUUUAGUAGUCGUGGCAAGCUUGAAAUUAAAUAAUACUUUCAUUAUUGGAAUACAGGUAAAACGUACUAAUUAAAAAACAAACGUGCAAAAAUGAAAUGGAGAAAAAAGAUUUUGUUUCUUAUUUUAGCCAGCAACGCCCAUUUAUUUUAAUGCCUACGAUUAGCAUGGAUAUCACAACAGGAUACUACUAAUAGCUUAGCAUUUCGUGUCUAGGAUUUAUGACACGUUUGUCUCAUUAUUAAGGGUAUAAAUUUCCUUGUUCAUCCUUUUAUUUCCAAGACCAAUAUCCACACAAUGCUUCCGUCUCCAAUACCUGUUAGUAAUUUGAAGUUUAUGCCAUAAUCGCACCGUGUCUAAAUAUAUCCCUUUGGUGUUUAAUGUCCUUUUAAAAGGAAACAUUUCGUAUAUUUACAAUCUAAUAAAUAUACAUUAUGAUGAUUAUCGCCACCAAUAAUCAAUCCAACCGUCGCCACUUCGAUACUUUCCAACUCGAGUUUUGAAAAUCAACAAAUUUUUAAAGACCAAUCUUCGCUUCGUUUCGAGACACCGUGUAUACCAGGCGGUACACAGAAGUCGCGACGGAAAUUUCGCAGGUUUCGCGAAAGCGAGGUCGUGGGGCCGUUCCUCCCGUACGCAUAGAAAAGGCCGCGUUCAGUCCGAUCGAUAGAUCUUCGCGGAGAUGGCAGUUGCAUCGCGAAAUUGGAAGCCAUGUCGGGAACGGUGUUGGAAAGCUGUUGUCGGGAAUGUCCGCUGGCCUACUGACGAACAGGAGAAAGGAGACGACAUGGGAGGAGAAUAUACGGGAGAGCAUCGGCAGGAGAAAAGAAUAUUGGCCGCGUUAUGAAAUCGCGGGAUUCUUUUACUGCGUUAAAAUCGAAAAUAUAGGAUUUUGUCCAUCGACGUUCGUGACGAUUUUUUGGCAACGAUCGAAGAGCGAACGAUUCGGUUGUAUAGAAGAAAAUAGGUUCGCUUGGUUCUUUUGGCAAAGAUCAACUAAAAUUUGUCUUACUUAUUUUUCCCUUUUCUCUUGAUUUAAAUUUAAAAUUGCCUUAACAGAGAAUCGCGAAGAUUUUUAAGUAGCACAAUUGAAUCGGACGUUACGAACUAUUUCUGAAUCAUCUGAAACGAAUUAGAAAUUGGAACAGACGAUAUUUUUAUUAAUAUAAUUAAGAUAAUUUGAAGAAUAGAAUUUUUUUCAUUAUAAAAAAAAUGAAAUUGUAAUUGUAGAUAGAUCAGAUCUGUAUGUAAAUCAUCGAAUUUAAUGCCAAGUAAUAAAUUCGUUAACCUCAUUAACCUCGUUAAUGGUUAAAAUUAAUUUGUUAAUUUGUUUUCCCAAUAUCAUAAAUUCGGCGUGAUAAAUUUCUAAAGUAUUCGUGUUUCUUCAUUUAAAGAAACAAUUUUUCUUCCAUCUAAUUAUAAAAUAAAUUAAAUAAAUGUAAUUGUAGAAUAAAUUAAAUUUUCUUAUUAAUCUUCUGCAGUUAGUAAAAGGAAUAAAACGCGGUUGGUGAUUAGUAACAACUCGGUAAACAUUUCUAAAUAAGAAGAUAUCAGAUUCAAUCAGAAAAGUGAAAGCGUAUUAACAUCCUGAACAAAUCUAUAUUUACGUCUACUUUAUGAAAGAUGUUCCGCGUGGAUUACGAUUGAUAUUCACGAUAAUUCUAACAAAUUUCCUGACGCGACAACUAGAAGAUUUCUUUUCACUUUUUUAAUUGCUAUCGAAGGUGUGACAUGAUAAAUGGCUUUCUAUCUUGUCCAACUGUUAUUAUUGAUAUUUAAAAUCGCAUUGAUUUUACUUAAAUUACUUCCUCCAACACUAAAUUUCACUUGGAUAUCGAUUCAACGUGAAUUUUCCGUGUGUAUUUUUCAAUUGAUUCAAUUGACUAAGUUAAACGAGCCUUUACUUCUUCAGCAGGAUAAAAGAAACGAGGAAUUCAAGGUGAACUUGAACGAUGUAACAGAAAAGCUGAAGAAACCGCUUCUUGGCAUCCGCUUCCGCCAGAGAAGAACGAUCACGUGGGAGAAAUUCAUUGUAAACUGCGAAUACUAAGAUUUUCGAUAUAUCUCCAUUUGAUUUAUAUUGUUUUAUUUUGUUAAGUAAUAUUAUUUUUACUUUAUAUCCUCAAGAAAUAUCAUGUACACUUUCGAUCUUUUUGCGAUUCGCACCUGUGUCGUGACAAAUAUGAAAUUAUUCAUACGUCACGAAUCAUUCUUUUCGAAGGCAUCCCUCGAAGAACCAGCGUAUCAAAUUUAUAUUCUCGUCAUCCAUCUUUCCUUUGAACCUGAUUUCGAUUGAAACAAGGUAAAUACACUGUCUAUUCGUGAACGCACUUGCUUACACAGUAUGUUUAAACCGUGUAUACUAAGUGUAAUUUAAAUUGGGAAAAGCUAUAUAUAUAUAAAAUUGUUUCUUACAUAAUUACAUAUAACUUACAUAAUAAUACGCGUAAUAAUCUUUCGUAAAUAAAAAGAAAAGAUAUUUUUUUUUUUCAUUUCUUUCCAUUGAGAAUUCCUUUAAGAGCCAACAAUAAUUAAACAUCAGGGGUGACUACUACUGGUUCCGUGAUCUCGAUCACGAUCUGGCAAGUUACCGCGUUUGUCGUGCGAACCUGACCUAGCACGUUAGCCAGUUAAAUUAAAACUUGUCGCGUUUCUCUAUUACCAGGCUGCGAUGGAUUUCCAAACGCGCAACAGGCAUUAACAGCACGCGGAAAACCGAGUUAAGCCUCGUUCAAAUUAAUCAAACGUUACUUGAAUUCAAAUAAUUUGAAUGAUUCGAGAAUUCGAAUAACUUAACUUCAAACAACAAUAAUUUAACAUCUGAAAUCAUCUAAAAAGACGAUAAUGCUUAUUAACCAAUAAUAAGAGAGAAGAGAGAAAUUUUGGACAAAUCACACCUCUAAUGUUUUCACCUCUAACAUUCCGAUUGCGAUUCACCGAGCGGAAAAAAUUGAUCGAAUGUAAGAGACAACGAUCGCAUCGAACAUUAAUAUGGAUAUUAAUUUCCAACGAAUCCGUUCACGCGUCUAUUCGUGGUGCACGGUAUCGAUUGGUGGAAUCGAACAGCGAAUUAUUUGCGAUGCUAGACACGCACGAAUAGCAGGCGUACACGAUCAACGGUCACAUUUCCGCUGUGGAAACCUUACUCCGGAUAUUUCGGGAGUGAAGAUUCCUAGCCACGCAUUUAAACAGAAGCGAUACUAUUCGAACAGUUGUGUAUGUUUGUUAUCGAUUGUGUUAUCGAUUGUCGCGGAUUCUGUUCCACAUCUCUUUUGUUCGAUUAAUAAUUUUGUUAGGACAAUGCAUUUGCAAACGGGUUGAACGAUACGUUUUAAUUGGAUACGUGUAAAAAGGAGGUUAUAUAUAUUUUAUCCGAUCGAAUUUCAUUUUCUUUCUUCUAUUCUAUAAAUGUAGUGUAGAUAUUAUUUUUAUAUAUUUUUUAUUGCAAAUUUACUGCAUGUAAUUUAUUACAUAACAUGUAAGAUAUGUAUGUAGGUAAUAUGAAAUAUAUAUAUAUAUAUCUGCA